GAUGAACGCUAGCGGCAGGCUUAAUACAUGCAAGUCGUGGGGCAGCAUGAGUGUAGCAAUACAUUUGAUGGCGACCGGCAAACGGGUGCGGAACACGUACAGAACCCUCCUUCCAGCGGGGCAUAGCCCAGAGAAAUUUGGAUUAAUACCCCAUAAUAUAAUGAAGAGGCAUCUCUUUGUUAUUAAAGAUUUAUCACUUGAAGCUGGCUGUGCUGCUGAUUAGGUAGUUGGCGGGGUAACGGCCCACCAAGCCUGGGAUCAGUAAAUGGUGUGAGAGCACGACCAGUCACACGGGCACUGAGACACAGGCCCGACUCCUACGGGAGGCAGCAGUAAGGAAUAUUGGUCAAUGGACGCAAGUCUGAACCAGCCAUGCCGCGUGGAGGAUGAAGGUCCUCUGGAUUGUAAACUUCUUUUAUAUGGGACGAAAAAAGGCUUUUCUAAGUCGUCUGACGGUACCAUAUGAAUAAGCACCGGCUAACUCCGUGCCAGCAGCCGCGGUAAAAC
rnacentral:rRNA from 1 species